UCUUGAUAGUAGAACUGAUUCGAAUGAAUUUAUAUUUAAAAAAUUUUAAUAUUCGUAUAAUAAUUAAUUACUUGUACUUUAUUUAUAGCCGAAAUUUGGAUCUUAACUGAAAGGCGUAUGCAAUACGAGCAAAAGAUGGAAAACUGAAUUGUUUGAAUUAAAGCAUUAAAAGAAGGCUGCCAAGAAUUCAAAGAGUCUUUUGUGACAGCCAAACGAGGAGGCGCAUCGGUAUGUCCCGAAUUUAAAUUCGAAAUAAUGUUUUGUUAUCCUAAAUAAAUAUAAAUA